rnacentral:lncRNA from 1 species
UGACAAAGGGUAAAACCUUUAUAUUUUACUACAAAGUUAUUUAUUUCUACAUGGUAUUUAUUUUUUCAUGGGUGAAAUCAUUGUGAAUCAAAUGAUUCACAUAAUUUUAUGCAUUUCCUGCUAAUUUAUUUUGAGUUUUAAGAAAACAACCAAAACAAUUCCAAUGAAAAUUUUAGUAACGAUUGUUUAUUUUGAGGGUAUUUGUUCAUAACAUUAAAAAAAUAAAGGGCUCAUAAUAAAUAAAUAUAUUUUUGACACAAAUAUUACAUAGAGUAUGUUUACAACAAAUAUCCUGUCAGCCAAAUGGUUACCCGUAUAAAAUGUAACUUAGGUUUUGCUACUUGCAUGCUAACAUUGUUUCUAAAAUGUGAAAGAAAAGUUUAUAUAGCAUAUUCCACAGUCAGUUCAGAUCAAUUGUUGUCUGAUAAACCUGAUGGAAGUUUAAAUUUAAAGUUUCCAAGCAAACAUUCAGAAAG